GAUGAACGCUAGCUACAGGCUUAACACAUGCAAGUCGAGGGGCAGCAUGGUCUUAGCUUGCUAAGGCCGAUGGCGACCGGCGCACGGGUGAGUAACACGUAUCCAACCUGCCGUCUACUCUUGGACAGCCUUCUGAAAGGAAGAUUAAUACAAGAUGGCAUCAUGAGUCCACAUGUUCACAUGAUUAAAGGUAUUCCGGUAGACGAUGGGGAUGCGUUCCAUUAGAUAGUAGGCGGGGUAACGGCCCACCUAGUCUUCGAUGGAUAGGGGUUCUGAGAGGAAGGUCCCCCACAUUGGAACUGAGACACGGUCCAAACUCCUACGGGAGGCAGCAGUGAGGAAUAUUGGUCAAUGGGCGAGAGCCUGAACCAGCCAAGUAGCGUGAAGGAUGACUGCCCUAUGGGUUGUAAACUUCUUUUAUAAAGGAAUAAAGUCGGGUAUGGAUACCCGUUUGCAUGUACUUUAUGAAUAAGGAUCGGCUAACUCCGUGCCAGCAGCCGCGGUAAUACGGAGGAUCCGAGCGUUAUCCGGAUUUAUUGGGUUUAAAGGGAGCGUAGAUGGAUGUUUAAGUCAGUUGUGAAAGUUUGCGGCUCAACCGUAAAAUUGCAGUUGAUACUGGAUAUCUUGAGUGCAGUUGAGGCAGGCGGAAUUCGUGGUGUAGCGGUGAAAUGCUUAGAUAUCACGAAGAACUCCGAUUGCGAAGGCAGCCUGCUAAGCUGCAACUGACAUUGAGGCUCGAAAGUGUGGGUAUCAAACAGGAUUAGAUACCCUGGUAGUCCACACGGUAAACGAUGAAUACUCGCUGUUUGCGAUAUACAGCAAGCGGCCAAGCGAAAGCGUUAAGUAUUCCACCUGGGGAGUACGCCGGCAACGGUGAAACUCAAAGGAAUUGACGGGGGCCCGCACAAGCGGAGGAACAUGUGGUUUAAUUCGAUGAUACGCGAGGAACCUUACCCGGGCUUAAAUUGCAGAUGAAUUACGGUGAAAGCCGUAAGCCGCAAAGCAUCUGUGAAGGUGCUGCAUGGUUGUCGUCAGCUCGUGCCGUGAGGUGUCGGCUUAAGUGCCAUAACGAGCGCAACCCUUGUUGUCAGUUACUAACAGGUUCCGCUGAGGACUCUGACAAGACUGCCAUCGUAAGAUGUGAGGAAGGUGGGGAUGACGUCAAAUCAGCACGGCCCUUACGUCCGGGGCUACACACGUGUUACAAUGGGGGGUACAGAGGGCCGCUACCACGCGAGUGGAUGCCAAUCCCAAAAACCUCUCUCAGUUCGGACUGGAGUCUGCAACCCGACUCCACGAAGCUGGAUUCGCUAGUAAUCGCGCAUCAGCCACGGCGCGGUGAAUACGUUCCCGGGCCU
rnacentral:rRNA from 1 species